AUGCCUUUCGGUUUAUGCAAUGCACCUACUACCUUUCAAAGAUGUAUGACUACUAUAUUCUCUGACUUUUGUGAAAAGAUUGUUGAAGUUUUCACGGAUGAUUUCUCUGUUUAUGGGAAGUAUUUUGAUGAUUGUUUAAGCAAUCUUGAUCGAGUUUUGCAGAGAUGUGAACAAACAAAUCUUGUCUUGAAUUGGGAAAAGUGCCACUUUAUGGUUAAUGAAGGUAUUGUCUUGAGUCAUAAAAUUUCUGAAAGAGGUAUUGAAGUGGACAAAGCUAAGGUUGAUGCAUUUGAGAAAAUGCCAUGUCCUAAAGAUAUCAAAGGUAUUCAUAGUUUCCUAGGUCAUGCAGGUUUCUACAGGAGAUUUAUCAAAGACUUUUCUAAAAUUUCUAGGCCUCUUACAAAUCUUCUACAAAAGUACAUUCCAUUUGUUUUUAUGAUGAUUGUUUAG
rnacentral:rRNA from 1 species